rnacentral:rRNA from 1 species
GACGAACGCUGGCGGCGCGCUUAACACAUGCAAGUCGAGCGAAGCGGCGGACGGGCGAGCAACACGUGACUAACCUGCCUUAGACAUUGGCAUAGCCUCGGGAAACCGGGCUUAAUACCAAAUGGUCUAAGGUGGACUCGCGUCCCAUUAGCUAGUUGGUGGGUAACGGCCCACCAAGGCGACGAUGGGUAGCCGGCCUGGGAGGGUGAACGGCCACAUUGGAACUGAGAAACGGUCCAAACUCUACGGGAGGGAGCAGUGGGGAGUAUUGCACAAUGGAAAGAACUCUGAUGCAGCGAAGCCGCGUGAACGAAGAAGGCUUUCGAGUCGUAAAGUUGUUUUAUAUGGGAAGCGGUAGCAUAAGAAAGAGCCCCGGGUAACUACGUGCCAGCAGCCGCGGUAAUUC